GCUGGGAGUACGGCCGCAAGGCUGAAACUCAAAGGAAUUGACGGGGGCCCGCACAGGCGGUGGAGCAUGUGGUUUAAUUCGAAGCUACGCGAAGAACCUUACCAGGUCUUGACAUACUAUGCAAAUCUAAGAGAUUAGACGUUCCCUUCGGGGACAUGGAUACAGGUGGUGCAUGGUUGUCGUCAGCUCGUGUCGUGAGAUGUUGGGUUAAGUCCCGCAACGAGCGCAACCCUUAUUAUCAGUUGCCAGCAUUAAGUUGGGCACUCUGGUGAGACUGCCGGUGACAAACCGGAGGAAGGUGGGGAUGACGUCAAAUCAUCAUGCCCCUUAUGACCUGGGCUACACACGUGCUACAAUGGAUGGUACAACGAGUUGCGAACUCGCGAGAGUAAGCUAAUCUCUUAAAGCCAUUCUCAGUUCGGAUUGUAGGCUGCAACUCGCCUACAUGAAGUCGGAAUCGCUAGUAAUCGCGGAUCAGCAUGCCGCGGUGAAUACGUUCCCGGGCCUUGUACACACCGCCCGUCACACCAUGAGAGUUUGUAACACCCAAAGUCGGUGGGGUAACCUUUAGGAACCGGCCGCCUAAGGUGGGACAGAUGAUUAGGGUGAAGUCGUAACAAGGUAACCA
rnacentral:rRNA from 1 species